rnacentral:rRNA from 1 species
GACGAACGCUGGCGGCGUGCUUAACACAUGCAAGUCGAGCGGUAAGGCCCUUCGGGGUACACGAGCGGCGAACGGGUGAGUAACACGUGAGCAAUCUGCCCUUCACUCUGGGAUAACCCCCGGAAACGGGAGCUAAUACCGGAUACGACCACUUCGGACAUCCGAUGGUGGUGGAAAGUUCCGGCGGUGAAGGAUGAGCUCGGCGGCCUUUCAGCUUGUUGGUGGGGUAACGGCCCACCAAGGCUUCGACGGGUAGCCGGCCUGAGAGGGUGACCGGCGACACUGGGAGUGAGACACGGCCCAGACGCCUACGGGCGGCAGCAGUGGGGAAUAUUGGACAAGGGGCGAAAGCCUGAUCCAGCAACGCCGCGUGAGGGAUGACGGCCUUCGGGUUGUAAACCUCUUUCAGCGCAGACGAAGCGAAAGUGACGGUAUGCGCAGAAGAAGCACCGGCCAACUACGUGCCAGCAGCCGCCGUAA